GUUUGGGGCCAGCAACGUCCUGAUAACACUCAUAGGUAACACACACACACACACACACACACUCACACACUCACACACACACACACACUGGGUCAGAGAGGUGGAGAGGUUUGGGGCCAGCAACGUCCUGAUAACACUCAUAGGUAAUAAGUGUGACCUGGAGGACCGGCGUCAGGUGCCGUUUGAGGAGGCGUGUUCUCUGGCAGAGGAUUCUGGGAUGUUGGUGGCGUUGGAGACGUCAGCGAAGGAGGCUCGGAACAUUGAGGAGGCGUUUGUGAUGAUGGCAGAAGAACUCCUCAAACGCAACGGCAUGCCGUUCCAGCCGCCCGAUCACCAUGCCAACACACAGCAUGUGCUCCUGCGCAACAACAGCCGACCAAUCAGCAGCCCCCCCACUGCAGAGGAGAAGCCUAAGAGCUGCUGCUAAGCCACGCCUACCGCCAUGCACACAAGAAGCCAGUGGGCUAUGAUUGACAGGACACGUGACCAAUCACAAGCCAGUGGGCUAUGAAUGACAGGACACGUGACCAAUCACAAGCCAGUGGGCUAUAAAUGACAGGACACGUGACCAAUCACAAGCCAGUGGGCUUUGAGUGACAGGACACGUGACCAAUCACAUUACUCCAGACUGAUUGACAGGACACGUGACCAAUCACGUCACUCCAGACUGCAGCCCACUGAGGUUCUAGACUCAUAACAGAGAAAGUGAAACUGUGAAUGUGACUCUUUUGCACACAGAGUCCCUCUACUCAGGAAUGUCAUUUUAAAAAUAAAUACAUGUAUUUUGCUUUGUCUUGA